rnacentral:rRNA from 1 species
UUGUUGGUGAGGGUAACGGCCCACCAAUGCGACAACGGGUAGCUGGUCUGAGAGGAUGGUCAGCCACACUGGAACUGAGACACGGUCCAGACACCUACGGGUGGCAGCAGUCGAGAAUCAUUCGCAAUGGGGGAAACCCUGACGAUGCGACGCCGCGUGGAUGAUGAAGGCCUUAGGGUUGUAAACUCCUGUCCAGAGGGAAUAAGCAAGUGAAGGUACCUCUAGAGGAAGGGGCGGCUAUUUCCGUGCCAGCAGCCGCGGUAACACGGAAGCCCCGAGCGUUGUUCGGAUUCAUUGGGCGUAGCGGGUGCGUACGCGGUGCGGAAAGUCCGGCGUGAAAGGCAGGGGCUCAACCUCUGGACUGCGUUGAAUACUUCCGUGCUUGAGGACUGGAGGGGAGACUGGAAUUCACAGUGUAGCAGUGAAAUGCGUAUAUCUCGUGAGGAAGACCGGUGGCGCAAGGCGAGUCUCUGGACAGAUCCUGACGCUGAGGCCACGAAUGCUGGGGGAGCGAACCAGGAUUAGAUACCCCUGGUAGUCCCAGCAGUAAACUGAUGUUGAUGCUUGAUGUAGGGGGAUCCGACCCCUUCCGUGUCGGAAGCUAACGCGAUAAGCUCACCGGCUGACGAGUACGGCCGGCAGGCUAAAACUCAUUGAACUUGACCGGGGACCCGCACCAGCGGUGGAGUAUUGUGGCUAUUCGAUGCAACGCGAAGAACCUUACCUGGCCUUGA